CCUGCACGUUUCCAGCCAAUAUUUCCUGCCUGCUAACCUGUGUUCCGAACUUCGACCCGUUUUCUGACCUGGAUUCCCUGAUUCUGCCUGCCCCUGUCUGUCUCCAUAGCCCAGCGGAGCUUCAUCGCAACCAUCUCGGUUCCUGUAACCUCCUGGCCGGCUUCUAUUCCCUCUGCGGGCAAAACGGACUUUGUGACCCCACACUCCUGGAUUAUUCG